GGCUCACUGCCGUAGAUUGGAGAAGAAUCGCCAGGGUUGCGUUGCGGUGUGCCCCGGUUCGAGACCGCUCGGGUCGGCCGAAUUCCGCGGCUAACGAGGGCGUGGCUGCCCCGUCGUUUCCAAGACCCCAUAAGCCAGCCGACUUCUCCAGUUACGGAGCGAGCCCCUCUUUU
rnacentral:ncRNA from 1 species